UCUGUUACUCCUCCCUGCUCGUGCUCCAUUCAAACAGACGUUUCUACCACUGUAGUGACGCCAAUGAUGACUGCGUUACUGCUCGUCGACAAGAGCCUCCUCAUCUCCCUGCGCUCUCUGCUUGGCCUAUAAAUCCGACGCGGUGUCCCUUGCUGCCUUUCAAGUUCUGGUUGCCUCUCCCUGACCGCUGCUGCUCAUCUUGGUUCGUUCCGCGCCAGCUGCCAGUCGAACAGCCACGUCCGGUACCAUGUCGGAUGCGCCCCCAACAAGUUCUCUACUCGCACAGCCUCCUUGCUGCUCGCCGCCGCCGAUGUCAAAGACUGCCUCGGUGUCCAUUCUCCACGUCGAAGCUUCGUCGCUAGUAUCACUAUUUCCCUGAUGGUCUCGACGUUGUUCUUGUGCUGCAGCUGCUUGUGGUGCUGGUGCUACGCCGCUCGCUAUGCCGCUUCACCACCGUGUUCCAUGCUGCCGAGAUCUCCUUCACCGUGUCCCACGACACCGAGAGUCCCUGUCCGAAGCUCCCUGCGCUGCGCCAGUCUCCCUCGCCAGUGCCAUCAAACCCGCCAUCGUUGCCGUACCUUGUCGCCAGUUACUGCUCGCUUGCUACGCCGUCGUGUGUCGUAGCCGGAGUCGUCGCCAUCGUCGUUCCGGGCACCUCUUCGGUGCUCCCUUCUCGCCGCGAAAGGAGUGUGGAAGAUAGCAGGGUCAACUGGAGGGAACAAUGGAGGUGGCGGAGCGAUGCCCUGUGCGGCGCCAAGGCUCUGCAUGUACUGGAACAUCUCCGCCAUCCUCUGAUGAUCUGCCCGGCGCUCCGCCUCCCGCUCUACCAUCAUCCUCGCCUCCAUCUCGUGACGUUCCCUCCUCUCUUCUUCUAGUUGGGUCUGUAAUAUUACAAGCCAACGUUAUAGUAACUCAAAGAGUAGGUAUAUAACUCAAGGAAGGACGAGUUACAGAAGCACUAAUCUCGAGUUGCU